rnacentral:misc_RNA from 1 species
GAUGAAGAACGUAGCGAAAUGCGAUAAGUAGUGUGAAUUGCAGAAUUCAGCGAAUCAUCGAAUCUUUGAACGCACAUUGCGCCCUUUGGUAUUCCUUAGGGCAUGCCUGUUCGAGCGUCAUUUGAAACCUCAAGCUCAGCUUGGUGUUGGGUGUCUGUCCCCGCCUCACCGCGGGGACUCGCCUCAAAAUCAUUGGCGGCCGGUACGUUGGCUUCGAGCGCAGCAGAAACGCGAACUCGAGGCCCGGCGGAUCGGCGACCAGAAGUCACUUCUUCACAGUUUGACCUCGGAUCAGGUAGGGAUACCCGCUGAACUUAAGCAUAUCAAUAAGCGGAGGA